rnacentral:tmRNA from 2 species
GGGGAUGCUGGGAAUCGAUGGUAAACCUUGUUAAAAAUAUUCGAAAUGUGCCUGGACCUUGCACAUUAAUCCGAGGUUCAACCUAUAAGUGCAACAAAUGUACUUGCAAAAGCCAAAGCUGCUUUUAGCAUGCCGGUUUUUGCCUUCGCUACCGUUUAAUUACUGUAGCCAUUCGACCGACAAUGCCUAAUACAUCGGAUCCGGGUGUCAUAACAUAGGGCUAAGCUUGCAGAGCGCGUUCGGUUGCAUGACAAAAAUCUAAGAACGCUAGUUCUUGUUGGUUUUGUUUGAUUUUUUAUGACAAGAGCGAAAUAACAAAUCAAACUAUUUUUCGUAAAUAUAUUUUUAACAUUUUAUUAGACGCGAGUUCAACUCUCGCCAUCUCCACAA